rnacentral:rRNA from 1 species
UGGGGAAUCUUCCGCAAUGGGCGAAAGCCUGACGGAGCAACGCCGCGUGAGUGAAGACGGCCUUCGGGUUGUAAAGCUCUGUUAUAUGGGACGAACGGGCGUAUGGUCAAUACCCAUACGCCGUGACGGUACCGUAAGAGAAAGCCACAGCUAACUACGUGCCAGCAGCCGCGGUAAUACGUAGGUGGCAAGCGUUGUCCGGAAUCAUUGGGCGUAAAGGGCGCGCAGGCGGUUCGGUAAGUCGGUCUUAAAAGUGCGGGGCUUAACCCCGUGAUGGGAUUGAAACUGCCGGACUGGAGUGUCGGAGAGGAAAGCAGAAUUCCUAGUGUAGCGGUGAAAUGCGUAGAUAUUAGGAGGAAUACCAGUGGCGAAAGCGGCUUUCUGGACGACAACUGACGCUGAGGCGCGAAAGCCAGGGGAGCAAACGGGAUUAGAUACCCCGGUAGUCCUGGCCGUAAACGAUGGAUACUAGGUGUAGGAGGUAUCGACCCCUUCUGUGCCGGAGUUAACGCAAUAAGUAUCCCGCCUGGGGAGUACGGCCGCAAGGUUGAAAC